rnacentral:antisense_RNA from 1 species
AAUUAUGGCGGCUGUGCGUGGGAGACCUUCGGGUCUGCCGGUUUUCGAAUGUCCCGGUUCGCCAAUCCGCGCAUAGCUGCCACCCUU